rnacentral:rRNA from 1 species
AACGCUUAACGGUGGAUCACUUGGCUCGUGUGUCAAUGAAGAAUGCAGCUGGUUGUGAGAAUUAAUGUGAAUUGCAGGACAAAAAAAAGUUACAUUUUUCCCAUUGCACCAAAAGCCUGAUCCUACAAAGGUAUGAUUUAACCAUA